rnacentral:rRNA from 1 species
CAGCAGCCGCGGGAAUACGUAGGUGGCAAGCGUUGUCCGGAAUUAUUGGGCGUAAAGGGCUCGCAGGCGGUUUCUUAAGUCUGAUGUGAAAGCCCCCGGCUCAACCGGGGAGGGUCAUUGGAAACUGGGAAACUUGAGUGCAGAAGAGGAGAGUGGAAUUCCACGUGUAGCGGUGAAAUGCGUAGAGAUGUGGAGGAACACCAGUGGCGAAGGCGACUCUCUGGUCUGUAACUGACGCUGAGGAGCGAAAGCGUGGGGAGCGAACAGGAUUAGAUACCCCAGUAGUCCCUGUCUCUUAUAA